rnacentral:rRNA from 1 species
AUUGAACGCUGGCGGCAGGCCUAACACAUGCAAGUCGAGCGGAUGAAGGGAGCUUGCUCCUGGAUUCAGCGGCGGACGGGUGAGUAAUGCCUAGGAAUCUGCCUGGUAGUGGGGGAUAACGUCCGGACACGGGCGCUAAUACCGCAUACGUCCUGAGGGAGAAAGUGGGGGAUCUUCGGACCUCACGCUAUCAGAUGAGCCUAGGUCGGAUUAGCUAGUUGGUGGGGUAAAGGCCUACCAAGGCGACGAUCCGUAACUGGUCUGAGAGGAUGAUCAGUCACACUGGAACUGAGACACGGUCCAGACUCCUACGGGAGGCAGCAGUAGGGAAUAUUGGACAAUGGGCGAAAGCCUGAUCCAGCCAUGCCGCGUGUGUGAAGAAGGUCUUCGGAUUGUAAAGCACUUUAAGUUGGGAGGAAGGGCAGUAAGUUAAUACCUUGCUGUUUUGACGUUACCAACAGAAUAAGCACCGGCUAACUUCGUG